rnacentral:rRNA from 1 species
AUUAAAAUAAACUAAAAAGUAUAAAAGUUCUAAAAAAACUAAUAUAUACUGGCAGCAUUUCACCUUAUUAGAGAAAUAUGUUUUUUAAUCGAAAGCACACGCUGAUUUUUACUUAUUUUUUAAAUUUUGUAUACCGCCGUAUAGAAUUUUUUUCAAAAUUUUUUCAGAGGUAAAAUCUAAUAAAAUAGGUAAAGGUGCAAACUACAAAUAAGAUAGAAAUGUAUUACAAUAAACAUUAUUUAAAAUCCUCAUUUAAUAAAAUUACAAUGUAGGAUUUAAAAGUAAUAUAUUAAUAAAAAUUUUAUAUGAAUAAGUUAAUAAAUGUGU